rnacentral:rRNA from 1 species
GACGUGACUUCAGAGUUUGAUCCUGGCUCAGGAUGAACGCUGGCGGCGUGCCUAACACAUGCAAGUCGAGCGAGAAGCUUCUCAGUUGAUUCUUCGGAUGAAACAGAGUUGCGGAAAGCGGCGGACGGGUGAGUAACGCGUAGGCAACCUGCCCCUUGCAGAGGGAUAGCCUCGGGAAACCGGGAUUAAAACCUCAUAACGCAUCGAGGAGACAUCUUCAUGAUGCCAAAGAUUUAUCGGCAAGGGAUGGGCCUGCGUCUGAUUAGUUAGUUGGUGGGGUAACGGCCUACCAAGGCGACGAUCAGUAGCCGACCUGAGAGGGUGAUCGGCCACAUUGGAACUGAGACACGGUCCAA